UACGUAGGCAGCGAGGCGUUGUUCGGAGUUACUGGGCGUAAAGGGUGUGUAGGCGGUUGUUUAAGUUUGGUGUGAAAUCUCCCGGCUCAACUGGGAGGGUGCGCCGAAUACUGAAUGACUAGAGUGUGGGAGAGGUGAGUGGAAUUCCUGGUGUAGCGGUGAAAUGCGUAGAUAUCAGGAGGAACACCGGUGGUGUAGACGGCUCACUGGACCAUAACUGACGCUGAGACACGAAAGCGUGGGGAGCAAACAGG
rnacentral:rRNA from 1 species